AGUUGUUACCUUCACUCUUUUGCAUUUAGAUCUAUUCAUGGAUGAGAUUUAGGGCCAUUUUGGUAUGUUUGAGAUCUAUUUCGGGUUUGGAGUUCAAAUAUGAAGUUGCUACUCCAGAUCUAGACUUGUGUUGGUCUAGAUUGUCAUAAAGCAUCAGUCAAUGAGUUUUCGGUGAAGCCCCUUUGUCUUAAAUCCUAGUCCUAGAGUGAUUUAGACCUUUAACUCCUUGGUUUCACGUAAAGUUUGCAACUUUACGUGAGAAUCAUGCCCUAGAAGGGUGGAUCUACAAUUUGGAGCCCCUGCAUGGCUCAAAAAGCCUCUGUAUGGAUGAAGGACUGAAGAGACUCGGUGAGUUCCUUGGGUGGACUCGGCAAGUCAUAUGAAGAUAGGCAUGAACACGACGAGUUGGAAGAACAACUCGGCGAGUCUGUUGAAGAUUGCCUUGGACUCGGCGAGUCUGUUCUUGGACUCGGCAAGUCAGGUCGCAGAACCCCAAUCUCUUUUGGUUAAAGCUUCGGAUCAGUGAGUCGGUUGGCGACUCAGUAAGUUGGACAGGAUGGAAUUCAGAGAUCGUUGGACUCAACGAGUCUUGGGGUGAAUCGGCGAGUUGAGUCGUGCUAUGAGAGUUUUCUGAGUUUGAGAACUCAGCGAGUCGACGGGUUGACUCGGCGAGUAGAGUCAAUCAGGAAGGUUGACUUUGGCCAGGACUUUGACUUUGACCUGUUUGACCUUUAGAGGUGUUAUGGUAAUUUUGGAUAUUUAUGUCAAUGGAUCAUUGAUGGCUAUAGGUGUUGGAGCUUGGGGCAGUGCUUCGGGAUUGUGCUUUUGUGGUUCGGUUCGGUAGUUGCAAGGUACUUUAGGGGAUCGUGGCAAGGCAAAGGCGUGAUCAUACAGUUCCUCACCUUUUAUGACUUUGUUUCUGGGAUAAUCUAAUAUGAUACAUUUUGAAAACAAGUUUGUAAUAGUAAUGGAUUUGAAAUGUUUUUAAAAGUUUAAAUUGGCUUGAAUUUUUAGGGUGUUACAGAAUUAGAGAUAACGAUUCAAGCGGAUAUGCGUAUACGCAAGAUUUGAUGUAUGGAGACCCUACACAAUGUUUUGAUAUGAUGCGUCUUACACAAGAGGCAUUUGUUUUAUUAUGCAACCACUUUACCCAAAAAAAAGUGGUUACAAGCUAGUAGGACAAUUAGCAUUGAAGAGAAGAUGACUAUAUUCUUACAUGUUAUAGGACAUAAUGAACGUUUUUCGCGCGGUUAAGUGAUGAUUUCAUCACUCCACACAAACGAUUCAUCAAUGUUUUCACAAGGCCCUAACAACAAUGAUGUGUUUUGAAAAAGAAAUUAUGGUACCAAUAACUCCUAAUCCAACAAGACAUAACUCAGAACGACAUAGACGGUUAAAAGUUAUUUUUUCCGGAGCAAUAGGUGCAUUAGAUGGAACUCUUGUCCAUGCGGUUGUACCCGUUAAUCAACAAACUCGUUAUAGAGGAAGAGGAAAAGAAGAAUGUUUUCAAAAUAUAAUAGGAAUUUGUGAUUUUGAUAUGAUAUUCACCUUUGUUUGGGCUGGAUGGGAGGACAACACAUGAUUCAAGAGUUUUAAAAGAAGUUGCAUUCAAUUCGACUUCUGGAUUUCCAUUUCAUCCACCAGGUUGCAUCCAUUUGGUUUAUUUCUUCUACUACAGAGGGUUGCAGAUGUGCUCUGCAGACUUCAGCCGUUUUCGUUUUGAAAAAGCAAAAAACACCUAAGUCAAAAGGUAAACGAGACUUGUAGUAGAAUUAAUAAUGUUGUCCGGUUGGUGUGAAUAGAUAUUCAAGUUAGUUAUUACAUGAAAUAUGGUGGAGAAUAAAAAAUGUGAAGCUCUUGACGUAAAAAAGAUCGGUUUAAGAAU